rnacentral:rRNA from 1 species
UACGAAGGGGGCUAGCGUUGUUCGGAUUUACUGGGCGUAAAGCGCACGUAGGCGGGUCGUUAAGUCGGGGGUGAAAUCCUGGAGCUCAACUCCAGAACUGCCUUCGAUACUGGCGACCUAGAGUCCGGAAGAGGUGAGUGGAACUCCUAGUGUAGAGGUGGAAUUCGUAGAUAUUAGGAAGAACACCAGUGGCGAAGGCGGCUCACUGGUCCGGUACUGACGCUGAGGUGCGAAAGCGUGGGGAGCAAACAGGG